rnacentral:rRNA from 1 species
AGAACGAACGCUGGCGGCAGGCUUAACACAUGCAAGUCGAGCGCCCCGCAAGGGGAGCGGCAGACGGGUGAGUAACGCGUGGGAACAUACCCUCCGGUUCGGAAUAGCUCAGGGGAAACUUGGAUUAAUACCGGAUACGGCCUAGCGGCGAAAGAUUGAUCGCCGGAGGAUUGGCCCGCGUCUGAUUAGCUAGUUGGUGGGGUAAUGGCCCACCAAGGCGACGAUCAGUAGCUGGUCUGAGAGGAUGAUCAGCCACAUUGGGACUGAGACACGGCCCAAACUCCUACGGGAGGCAGCAGUGGGGAAUAUUGGACAAUGGGCGCAAGCCUGAUCCAGCCAUGCCGCGUGAGUGAUGACGGCCUUAGGGUUGUAAAGCUCUUUCGCUAGGGACGAUAAUGACGGUACCUAGACAAGAACGCCCGGACUAACUUCGUGCCAGCAGCCGC